ensembl:lncRNA
CAAUAAAUAGCUGAGAGCGAGGGAAACUGAGAGGAGACAUGGGAGAAGCUGGUUGCUCUCCACGGAGAUUCGUGGUGACCUGGCAGAUCACUGCAGUGCCUGGGGGGAAGGAUUUACAGCCGGGAAAGCUGCCCCUCGCCCGGUCUGUGGGAGACAGCACGCGGGGGCAAGUCAUUAUCUGCUGCAGUCUGCGCACUGAAAUGCAACGUAGGCAGCAGAGGACAGUGAAGUGUGGAGGGAAUGAACACAAUUCAUCAGGACUCCUACGUCGGUGAGAAGAUCAGCAAAGCCCUUCUGCCACCAGGGAUUUUAGCACGCGGGCAGGGCAUGAGGUCCUGCGGCGAGACCCACAACUCCCAGCUUUGCAGAAGAGGUUUGGGCUGGACCUGCCGCAGCCAUGCCUGAGCAAGAGGCAGCUUGCCACGCAAGCAACACCAGCCCCCUGACCCACCGGGGACCUUCCAGGGGAACACUGCUCUCUGGGCUUUCAGAUGGCUGAGCCCUUCAGGCUGGCAGUAAAAUUGCCAUGACCACCAAGAGAUUUAAGGUCUUAAAGACCAGAUUUCUAAAGGCACUUAGAUCAGAACCCUACUGAGAUAUGAAAGACAUGUAAGAUAGCCAACUGAGUCCCACUAUGUAUCUUACUUCUUUGGGUGACAGAUAGUAUUUGGGAGGACAUCUAUCUGUUGCUCGCUCCUGCAAACUUGGCCCUAAGUCUUAUUAAAAGUUAGCAGAACUCUAAGCUGCUUGGACACUAAAGCAGCUGUGUACUUGUAACAUCAUAGGUGUCCUGCACCCAGGUUUUCCCACACGUUUCCUCACUUCCCAGGCACAUUAGCUCAACACCAGGCUCUGGAUAUCUGAAAAGCCAUGUGCACAGUCUACACUUGCUACAUACAUGGCUUACCUGCAAGAUUCAUGGCAUGUACAGCAAACACUAUGUUUCUAUUUCUUCAUGGAAAAUUCCAGUGAGUGAUAUGGCAAGUCUAGCUUUUGAUAUUAAAAAAAAAUGAAAGUUUAAUAAGAUAAAACACUGAUGAGGAAAGCUCUGUGAUUUCUUUUAAGCACCAUCCUACGCAAGUGCCCUUUUUUGGUGGGACAUGAAAUCACGUAUUCUGUAUACAUGUAUUCUGUAUACACUCUGCCACUUGUUCUCCACCUCCUUUAAGUAUUUAGAGACACAUAAGGCCUAUGCAACAGACUUCCACAGAAGACCAAAUGAAUCCAGACAAACCUUCUUUAGGAAAUAUUCCAAUGCUUUCCUCCAUGAAUUAAAUUUACCAUUUCAUUCAUGGUAUUUGUCAUAGAUUUUAGGCAGAAGAAUAUCUAUGCUGGGUAGCAGUAUGAAGUAGGCCGAUUAAGGACCAGUUUUCGUUGAGUGUUAAGGGAUAAGCAUCCUUCAGGUUCAUCGUAAAAUCCAAGUGAGAGCAAUUAUUGACAGGUAUUUAACACAAUUCUCACAUUAGUUCAAUGCUUAUUAUAAUACUUUACUUUAUGUACUUUAUUUCUCACCUUUUAUUGUUUAGUUCAAUUUUUGGCUUUUGCAUUUUUUGCCAUGACAGACACCAGACCUAAUCAUAAAUUCCCAAACUUUCUCCUUUCAGACUUAAAUUUGCCAGGGUUGGCCUCUCUCCAGGAGCAAGCAUGGCUCUUUUCAGUCUGAGAAACAGAGAAAGUUAAAAGAAAUACAGCUGGACACUUAAAAAAAGUCUUAUGACCCUGUAAAAACCAGCAACUUUACAAUCAAAAUAUCCAGGGAUCAAAGCUAAGUUUUUAUUUGAAAUAGUCCUCAUUAAAGAUAAGUUUUGCUACUAUCAUGAUAAGAAAUAGGUUUGAUUUGUUCAAUUUAUGACCCUGUGGAUAAUUUCAUGCUUCAGUGUUUCACUGAAGAGCUCUCCCAAGGCUCAGUAGAAGGUUUGUGCCAAAUCCUAGCAAGGGCUCUGAUAGACAAGCUCUUGCCAGCAUUGCUGUAAUAGUUUAAGAUGUUUUUGUCUUAUUCCCAACUUCUCUGCUUGCUUCUCUGCCACCUCUUCCAGAAGACUUUGUCCCCUGUGGCAGACACAACCAAGGACAACACAAGCAGGGUGGCUGAGGCACAGGUUUCUUAAACUACUGAUGAAGAUGAGUUUGAGCUAAGACACCAAAUUGUGAUUUGGUGAGAUUUCGACGCAGGCACCUGUCCAGCUCUGCUUGAGAGCUCUAACCUUCAGCAGAGGAGCACCAGCACGUAGCUGGGAGAAGGUAACAUCAAAACCAGCUGCAGUUGUUUGCCUCAUGAAUGUAAGUCAGAACCAUGAGUCCUUGAUCCUGCAAAUACUUAUGUGUAUAUUUAACUUUAUUACUGUGAGUAGUUCCAGAACUUCAGUGGGGCCUGAAGUUGCACUGGCACAUAAAUGCUUGCAAAAUAGGGGGCAUGCACUGGUAAUGGGUCUAGCUAAAAAAGCUUCAACUCACACAUAAGUCUAAGCAAUUCAUCUCUGCAGUGAAAUUGCACUCCAAUCUCAGGAAGUUAAAGAGAGUGCUUGUGCCUUUUUGGAAAUCAUACUAAAGGCAGCCUUGCUCUGACUUACUGGAAUAAAACAAAGUCCUCCAGCCUGGUUUAGGCCUCC